GAACGCUAGCUACAGGCUUAACACAUGCAAGUACGAGGGUAGCGAGGUAGCAAUACCGCUGACGACCGGCGCACGGUGAGUAACACGUAUCCAACCUUCCCAUAACUCAGGGAUAGCCUUUCGAAAGAAAGAUUAAUACCUGAUAGUACUUUUUCAAGGCAUCUUGAAAAAGUUAAAGAUUUAUUGGUUAUGGAUGGGGAUGCGUUCCAUUAGAUAGUUGGUGAGGUAACGGCUCACCAAGUCUUCGAUGGAUAGGGGUUCUGAGAGGAAGGUCCCCCACAUUGGUACUGAGACACGGACCAAACUCCUACGGGAGGCAGCAGUGAGGAAUAUUGGUCAAUGGGCGAGAGCCUGAACCAGCCAAGUAGCGUGAAGGAUGAAGGUCCUAUGGAUUGUAAACUUCUUUUAUAGUAGAAUAAAGUGAGCCACGUGUGGUUUUUUGUAUGUAUACUAUGAAUAAGGAUCGGCUAACUCCGUGCCAGCAGCUGC
rnacentral:rRNA from 1 species